rnacentral:rRNA from 1 species
CCUACGGGAGGCUGCAGUGAGGAAUAUUGGUCAAUGGACGAGAGUCUGAACCAGCCAAGUAGCGUGAAGGAUGACUGCCCUAUGGGUUGUAAACUUCUUUUAUAUGGGAAUAAAAUGUUCCACGUGUGGGAUUUUGUAUGUACCAUAUGAAUAAGGAUCGGCUAACUCCGUGCCAGCAGCCGCGGUAAUACGGAGGAUCCGAGCGUUAUCCGGAUUUAUUGGGUUUAAAGGGAGCGCAGGUGGAUUGUUAAGUCAGUUGUGAAAGUUUGCGGCUCAACCGUAAAAUUGCAGUUAAAACUGGCAGUCUUGAGUACAGUAGGGGUGGGCGGAAUUCGUGGUGUAGCGGUGAAAUGCUUAGAUAUCACGAAGAACUCCGAUUGCGAAGGCAGUUCACUGGACUGCAACUGACACUGAGGCUCGAAAGUGUGGGUAUCAAACAGGACUAGAUACCCGUGUAGUC